rnacentral:rRNA from 1 species
CGGAGGUGGCAAGCGUUGUUCGGAAUUACUGGGCGUAAAGGGCGCGUAGGCGGCAAGGCAAGUCAGGUGUGAAAGCCCCGGGCUUAACUCGGGAAUUGCAUCUGAAACUGCUGUGCUUGAGUUCUGGAGGGGGUAGUGGAAUUCCCAGUGUAGCGGUGAAAUGCGUAGAUAUUGGGAGGAACACCUGCGGCGAAGGCGGCUACCUGGACAGAAACUGACGCUGAGGCGCGAAAGCUAGGGGAGCGAACGGGAUUAGAUACCCCGGUAGUCCUAGCUGUAAACGAUGGGCACUUGGUGUUGGGGGUAUUGAGUCCCCCAGUGCCGGAGUUAACACGUUAAGUGCCCCGCCUGGGGAGUACGGUCGCAAGACUG